rnacentral:rRNA from 1 species
UACGAAGGGUGCAAGCGUUACUCGGAAUUACUGGGCGUAAAGCGUGCGUAGGAGGUUGUUUAAGUCUGUUGUGAAAGCCCUGGGCUCAACCUGGGAACUGCAGUGGAAACUGGACGACUAGAGUGUGGUAGAGGGUAGCGGAAUUCCUGGUGUAGCAGUGAAAUGCGUAGAGAUCAGGAGGAACAUCAAUUGGCGAAGGCAGUUAACUAUUCUGCUACUGACAUUGAGGCAUGAAAGCGUGGGGAGCAAAACGG